UAUUGUGGUGGUUUCUGUAUUUGGCAGAUCUGUAACUGUAUCUGACUGGCCUUAAGCUACCACAAAGAUCAAAAAGGAGAUGGCUGUGCUGAGAACUUUUUCAAGCUUUUAGUUUUCAGCUUUUUGUGAUCUCCCACAGAA
rfam:Calypte anna contig65674, whole genome shotgun sequence.